AACAACAGAAACAGCACUGGUCUUUCAAAAUCAAAUUUAAUUAGUAGGGCACUGGUAGUACAUAAAUGUACUUAGCACAUAUUAAUAUUAAUACAGACCAGUUUAUAAGACACCCAAGAUAUCACAGGGCUUCAGCACAGGGUAGCAUGUCUAAUACAACACACACUCAUUAAGGAUAUACACACUAGAGGACUCCCCACAACACUGCUUAUGUAAAACUCAUUACACACAUAACACAACCCAAUAAUGGAUUGAAAACUACACUGCACAACUUACUAACAGCUCAAAAUUCAAAUCAUACAGCUCACAGGGAUAUCGUCACAUAUGGAGUGUACCCAGAGAUCAUUGGUCGGGUUACAUAUUAGGAACUUUACAGCUUACCCUAGGUCUGAUUUACAUCUUAUACCCAGGCCUCCUUAGUUAAAUCAGACAGCUUACCUGAAGACUCCUUGGAGACCACACAGCUUUCCUCACACCUUUAUAGUUACAAAUAACUUAUGACUACCUGAGCCCUCCCUAGUUUCAACCCACACACAUCUGACCUGAGGCCUCCCUACUGGUAGUUGCAUCACACAGCUUACCUGGGGCCUAGGUACAUCACACAACUACUGUAAGGAAUCUAGUUAAGUAGCGUCACACAACGAGCAAAAGACUUCCCUCCCUAGGUACAUCACACAACUUCUAUAAGGAAUCUAGUUACGUAGCAUCACACAAUGAGCAAAAGACUUCCCUCCCUAGGUACAUCACACAACUACUAUACGGAAUCUAGUUACGUAGCAUCACACAACGAGCAAAAGACUUCCCUCCCUAGGUACAUCACACAACUACUAUACGGAAUCUAGUUACGUAGCAUCACACAAAGCAAAAGACUUCCCUCCCUAGGUACAUCACACAACUACUGUAAGGAAUCUAGUUAAGUAGCGUCACACAACGAGCAAAAGACUUCCCUCCCUAGGUACAUCACACAACUUCUAUAAGGAUCUAGUUACGUAGCAUCACACAAUGAGCAAAAGACUUCCCUCCCUAGGUACAUCACACAACUACUAUACGGAAUCUAGUUACGUAGCAUCACACAACGAGCAAAAGACUUCCCUCCCUAGGUACAUCACACAACUACUAUACGGAAUCUAGUUACGUAGCAUCACACAAAGCAAAAGACUUCCCUCCCUAGGUACAUCACACAACUACUGUAAGGAAUCUAGUUAAGUAGCGUCACACAACGAGCAAAAGACUUCCCUCCCUAGGUACAUCACACAACUUCUAUAAGGAUCUAGUUACGUAGCAUCACACAAUGAGCAAAAGACUUCCCUCCCUAGGUACAUCACACAACUACUAUACGGAAUCUAGUUACGUAGCAUCACACAACGAGCAAAAGACUUCCCUCCCUAGGUACAUCACACAACUACUAUACGGAAUCUAGUUACGUAGCAUCACACAACGAGCAAAAGACUUCCCUCCCUAGUUAUAUCACACAGCUUACUUGAGGCUCUUUUUCACACAUACGACUUACUGUGGAAUCUUUAAAGAGUCCUAACCUUUCCUUUAACUCCAUACUCUCAUGAAAACUUUCAAACAGUUCUCCCGAGGCAUCAUUAGAGACGACGGACAACUGAUGAGAACAUGUAAAUAACUAUUUACACACAGCACAUUCACCCUUGGGUACAUUACACACGGCUUGUUGGGGGAGUCUUCAUCUGUUCUCCGGUAAAACACACAGCUUUACUACUUAGGGUUCCUUGACUACAGCACACUAAACACAUUUACAUAUGGCAAAGUUAUCUACAACACAUAUUCUGAUAAGACAGGAUUCUUUUACUGUUUACACAUUCUCUUAUAACAAGUACAAGUGACAGAAUACAUAUCACCGAGUUCAUUAUCUGGACAAUAAUAAUGAUAAAAUCAUUCAAGUUUCCCUUUUGAUAUAUUUUAUAUACUGACUCGUGUUUCAAUGUAUGUAGUACAGGUAUGCUCGUCUUCACUUCCAUUUUACAAUUUGAAUCAAUAUGUUAAAGAGAAGAAUUUUAAGAGCAAAUUAUUAUUGACUCUAAGCUUAAAACAUAAAGAGACAAGUCUGACAUUACAUAGAUUAUUCUAAAUAGUGUAUAAACAUUUACAGUCAACCAAUACAAAUACAGUAUAGCAAAUAAAGUUAGGGAAAAAAAGACAGUAUUUCAAAAUGAUACAUAAGUCAAAAGAUACUUUGAUAUUCAAAUAUCAGAAAUAUGGUGGGUUUGGAUUCAUCAAUUUAACCCUUUUAGUUGUUCCCGUAAAGAAACUUGGAGAAUGUUUUUAAUUCAAUAGACAAUCUUUUGAGCAGACUUUGGGGUCCAUCACAAGAACAAAGGUAUGUGUUAUCCCUCCUAUUUUAGUAGACAAGAAUACAGACCCAUAUACACAAAUAGUAUUAUAUGUUUUUACCUAACAAACAAAACAUCUAUCACAUUAAUGAUUUGUUUGACAAGGUUAUCAGAUAUUUCUACCUUACAAACAAAACAUCUAUCACAUUAAUGAUUUGGUGGACAAAGUCUUGGUUACUUCAUUGUGUUUAUUUCUCAUGAGCUUACCUUGAUAUUAUCAAAAUACCAUAACAAAAAUAUUCCUGAAGUUUAACUUAUUAAGUACAUACAUCUUAAUAUUAAAUUCAGGAUGUAGGUGGGUAUAUGAUUGUAGUCAACAUUGAAAAUCCAUACAUCUAUAUAACAUUAAUUCAAAGCGACUUUGUGACAAACUACAUAUACACCAGUUAUCAAGUCCUACUGUCAAUAAAAUCCUAGCUCAGGAGGAAGUGAACACAUCAGAUACACACGAAGGUGUUGAUUAAUUAGUACAGUAGUGUGAUUCAGUACCUGGACGUUACAAACUUCCUCUGGUACUUAAAUAUAUAUCGUGUAGGUCUUUACCCACAAACCACAGCUUAAGAGCUGGUACACGCAGAAAAUUAUAUGAAUCAAUACUUUCAUGUAAUUUAUUAUUUCAAAACUAUGUUUUCCUUCAGGAAACAGGAAAAAAUUAAACCCAUCACUCAUUAAUUGUAAAGGCAAAUUGUUUAGAUGAAAAUUUCAACAUUAAAUCCAUCACUCAUUAAUAUAAUUGUAAAGCCAAAUUGUUUAGAUGAAAAUUUCAACAUUAAAUCCAUCACUCAUUAAUUGUAAAGCCAAAUUGUUUAGAUGAAAAUUUCACAACUGGUUAUUAAAGUAUAAUUUGAAUUGAAAAGCUUAUACUAUACUGGAUUGAAGUACAGUUUUUUUUUUUUUUUUGCAGUUAUAUACAUACAUGUAGACACCACACAAAUUAGUCAUUACAUACAAUGCAAAUACAGCUAUACUCCUAUGUAUAUGUGGUAGUUACAACACAACCCACGGCCAAUGACGACCGACACUCAUGCCUUACAGUCAUCUACAACAUCACCCUCUCCUCUACACAGUAACAAGACCUCCACAGCAGGUAACAAACAGCAGUGAGACUAAUGCCUGCAAAGGUCCCCAUAGAUCCAGCUAACUUAAUAACAUACAAAAUAUAGAAAUACAUUUCCAUGUGCAAAUAAUAAUGUGGCAGAGAUUCAAUCACACUUUCAAAUUAAGAACACACACAAAUCAUUUAACAGCCAUUACAUUGCCAUCCUGUUUACGUUCAUAUCGCACUCAUCUUUCUCAAAGAGAAAAAUACAAUAUUAAAUACAUAUAUAGUGGCAGCACAGUAUGUAUCCAAUGUUUAUUAUCCAUUUUGUAUGGACAAAUAUCUGUCCACGUUUUGAAUGGACAAAUAUCUGUCCGCUUUUUAUAUGGACAAAUAUCUGUCCACAUUUUGUAAUAACAAAUAUCUGUCCAUGGCUUCAUGACUAAACCACACACAUUUACACUCGAGUUAUUCACAGCUAUCACACAUCACAGUCUUGUAAUAUAUACCAACCAUUCAUUACUGGCCACACUAGUAAUACUGUAUCCAAUACAGAUGCAAAUGUCGCUAUUCUUUAUUAUGGAGUUUACAAUUUAUAUUUCAGCACUUGUAUAUAAAUCUAAUGAUUUUAUUCCAAAAAAUUUAGUUAUAUAGCUAUACUAGUCAAAUUAAUAGAUACCAUUCUAUGGUAGUAUAUUUAUCAACCAGCUUCUGUAGCUCAUUGAAUGGCCACCUCGGAGAUCCUUAAAAGAUUGGUACUACACAUCCAUCCCUGAUAUUGUCAAUCACAUAAUUAUACUGGCCUAGGUUGAUCAUUGUACAUGUCUGCUGAUAUAUCAGACCACUAUCGAUAAUAGUGUAAUCAUUAUAUAC